rnacentral:hammerhead_ribozyme from 1 species
AUCUAGCCGACGAGUCCCAAAUAGGACGAAACGCGCGUUCUGGAU